UCAGGCUUUUUACCAGACGACCACGCCACCCUCGUGCUCAUCUCUUUCGUCACUUCUUUGCUCGCCUAAUCGACUUAGCUCUUGCCAUCGCCAUGGAUUCCUUCCCCUAAUUUUAGAGUUUUCAAGGUAGGAUCGAGGUGUGAGAAGAUGGAAGAUGGAGAGGAUUCGAUCCAUGGUGUCGCAGCGCCACGUGGACCUAUAGAUUGAGUGCAGCCGCUGGGUCUCGCCCCCUCCGGCGACUGGCUUCGCAAUCUCGCAGGCAUCGACGGGCACUGCUCGGCCGGCCGCCUCGACAACAUCCGCGGCAUCCCGGACAUAUCAGGUCGAGCCAUAUCGAUUUCCGGUUAAGCUCAAGUUCAGGCCCGGGUCUAACC
rnacentral:lncRNA from 1 species